GCCAGGGCACCGCGCUGCCUGCUCUGCUGCGAGGCAGCACCGACACGCCGCGCACGGGGCUGGAAUGUCCUUUACAGCAUGGAGCAUCCCGCCCCGCUGCUUUAUGGAACGGGAGGUCUGGAACUGGCCGGAGUGACAGCAGGCGGCACCGUCCUGUCACAGCGUCCGUCAUCUCCCGUGCGUGGGACAGCACCGGCCUCUCUCCGUGACUGCAGCCCAUGAGUGCCUGCGCUGGAGAGAGCCCAAGGCUUCACCAUCCUGCAUCUUCUUCGAAGUACAAAUAUAGCCAGUCCAGACUCAGAAUGAGCUGCAGGAGCCCUCCAGGUGUGGCUGCUAGAGAUAAAGCAACUGGAUAAAUCUACUAAGAAAUUCAAGUGUUUAAUUUGGGUUAAAAGUCUCUCUGCAGGUGGAAUGCCCUCCUGUCCCUCAAGCGGCUCAGCAGAUUAGCCAGGAGGAAAACCAACAGCAAAAUGGACCAAAGUUGUCAAGUUUGCUCAGCUCCUUACCUGCUCCACACAACAGGAACCCAGUUCUGCCCCAGCAGGUACAACCAGCAGGCUGGGAUAAGAACCAUGUGCUUGUGGUACCAGCUCCAGUUCCCUCACAACAACAGUAGGAAACAUAAGUUUAAUUAUGUUUACUUGAUGGAAAAUGAAAUUCUGCAGUGAAUAACAGCAUGAGGAAAGAAGGUUUAUGGUCUCUGAAACAUCUCCCCAAACUCCAUGAGGCCCCACAGCCAAAACCAAACCAUGGUUAUAUUUUGGAAGAAAUGCAGUGGAUGGAAACUGAUUUUUUUCAAGAAAGAGGGUGAAAGAUGAUAACUGCCAAGAGGCAUACAGACUGGUCUGUCUUUGAUGUGAUUGGGGUGGAAAACCAAAUUACUUGCAACAAAGCACAAAUGCUGCCAAAACUGAAGGUAACUGGAAUGCUUAUAGAGGAGAUCUGCUCCCCUUCAUCACCCAGACUUGAACCAGUGAAGCUCAAACCAAAUAGGGUAUCGCAGGGGAAAAAAGACAACUAAAGGAACGCCUGGACGAAAUAGACUUCUGGAAUGAGCCUCAUUGUUCCAGAACACUGGAACAGGGCAGAGACCUGUUGGAAACUUGCUCUUGGAUCAGUGAAAGAAAAAUCUCUCAGCAUUGUUCUGCCAGGAUUGACAAGUGGUGCUGGGCUGGCUUUGCAAAUUGCCUUCCAUAUUCCAGCACUUCUGAGGCUCUAAGGAUCCAUUGCAGGAAUUCAUUCUGACACUGAAACAGCAACAGAUUGCCCUGAAGGAUGUUAUUAUCAGAGACCUGUGCGUGUUCCCAGCUGUAGCUGUUGCUCCUCCAUGUUUGUAUGGAGGAGAUCCUUACACAUGGACCCAUGGAGUGAAGCUCUUGCAGUUCAGUCUGGAGGAACAGAGAUGGUGCAGCGUGAUCCAGGUUUAAACCCCACUGGUUACACCUGUGUGCAGGGGCUCUCUAAUUGUGAGUGUGACCUGCAGAACUCUCAGGUUCUCAUUCAUUCAGGCAAGCUGGGAGCUCUGGCUGUCCUGCUUUGGAGGCUGAAAGCAGAAGGGAGAGCAGGUGCUGACUUUGACACACGUGAUUGCAAUGCUCAGCAUCCUGGAGCUUUUCCUGAAUUUCCAUUUCCUCAUGUGAGUGAGAGUUAGUGAGAGUGCUGCUCACAGCUGGCAUUGUCUGAUGCAGUAUAAAGCAUAAAAGAAUACUUUGCCUUAAAGCAACAGAAGGCAGCACAACAGAAGGGAUUUGAUUUAGUCAAUAGACAAGAAAAAUGAUGGAGCACGUACAGGAAUAACUAUUCAGUCAGGUGUCAGUCACACAGAUGUGGUUACUGUUGUCUUCUAUGACACUGAUUUUAGACCUGCUGAUGGACACAAAGACUAAGGGAUGGCGUGACAGAAUUGCAAGAGGCAGAGAUAUCCAUACAUACAGGCUUGUAAGAGCUAGUUCUAUUGAAGAGAGGCUGUUGAAAAAGAGUAUUAAACAUAUGAUUCAAGAACUGGCUGCUCAGGGUGGGGAUUGUUCAACAGACUUUUUAUCUCAGGUCUUGGAUCAUGUCAGUGAUGUCAAUAACUCCUGUAACUAUGUUUAUCACUCUCGAAAGCAAUGAAAAAAUCAUUGCAUAAAAACCAUCGCAAGUCCGCAGGGAAAGAAUGAAGGUGGUCAUUCUCCGUGUUAGACAAACCUGUGCUAAAGACCAUAAUUCUGAGUGUAUUCAAAUCUAUAUACAUCACUUCAAGCUGAUGACAAUGACUACUAGAAAAAGAAGUUUCUCAAAUACAUUUCUGCACGAAUGUAUUUCAUGGGGACUUUUUUCUUAUCAAAGGCUCUGUGCGGACCUUUAGCCUUAAGGUAAAGCAGUGUUUACAGUCCAAGAAUAAAAUCUGUGCUCGUGCCGAUGUAAAGAAAAGCCUGAAGUGCUUCAGUAUCGCUCCAUCCGAUGUACCAGAAGUCCUUCCUCAUGUCCUGGGAGAACCUCCUGAGCAUCAGUGCGUGCCCGUUGUCUCUUGUCCUGUUACCACCGAGCAGAGCCGGUCCGCGCCCGGAGCUCCCUGCAGACACUGACAGGGAUGGAGGGAUGGGGUUCCCCCUCGGCCGCCUCUUCUCGAGGCUCCCUCAGCCUUUCCCCGCACGAGAGGUGCCGCAGCCCCUUCAUCACCUUUGUUUCCCUCGGCUGGCCCCGCUCCAGGCGCUCCCAGCCUCUCCUGCCCUGCGGAGUACAAACCCCGCGAGCUGCCAAGUGUGCAUUUUCACAGCGUGUCUUGAAGACGAACGCCAGCCCUGCUCCCUGCGCGGACAGAAAUGACCCUUUGCUGUGUCCUUACCCUCCCCUGCCUCUGCUACAAUAAAUACAAUUAUUUCUGCCCUGUC